CCUACGGGAGGCAGCAGUGAGGAAUAUUGGUCAAUGGACGAGAGUCUGAACCAGCCAAGUAGCGUGAAGGAUGACUGCCCUAUGGGUUGUAAACUUCUUUUAUAUGGGAAUAAAAUGUUCCACGUGUGGGAUUUUGUAUGUACCAUAUGAAUAAGGAUCGGCUAACUCCGUGCCAGCAGCCGCGGUAAUACGGAGGAUCCGAGCGUUAUCCGGAUUUAUUGGGUUUAGAGGGAGCGUAGGUGGAUUGUUAAGUCAGUUGUGAAAGUUUGCGGCUCAACCGUAAAAUUGCAGUUGAAACUGGCAGUCUUGAGUACAGUAGAGGUGGGCGGAAUUCGUGGUGUAGCGGUGAAAUGCUUAGAGAUCACGAAGAACUCCGAUUGCGAAGGCAGUUCACUGGACUGCAACUGACACUGAGGCUCGAAAGUGUGGGUAUCAAACAGGAGUAGAUACCCGAGUAGUC
rnacentral:rRNA from 1 species